CAAAAGUUAAUGUUGUGAAGGCGA
rnacentral:siRNA from 1 species